GAUGAAGAACGUAGCGAAAUGCGAUACUUGGUGUGAAUAGCAGAAUCCCGUGAACCAUCGAGUCUUUGAACGCAAGUUGCGCCUCAAGCCAUUAGGUUGAGGGCACGUCUGCCUGGGCGUCACAUAUCGUUGCCUGAUGCCAGUUUCCUCGUGAUGGGUGACUGUGCAGGGCGAAUGAUGGCUUCCCGUGAGCAUUGUUGCCUCAUGGUUGGUUGAAAAUUGAGUCCUUGGUAGGGAGCGCCGUGAUAGAUGGUGGUUGAGUGACGAACGAGACCCAAUCAUGUGAGACCCCUACCGAAUUUGGCCUUCAUGACCCACAUGCGUCUUUGGAACGCUCAUGACGAGACCUCAGGUCAGGCGGGGCUACCCGCUGAGUUUAAGCAUAUCAAUAAGCGGAGGA
rnacentral:misc_RNA from 1 species